rnacentral:rRNA from 1 species
GACGAACGCUGGCGGCGUGCCUAAUACAUGCAAGUCGAACGAACCGCGACUAAGUGCUUGCACUAAGUCAAGGUGAGUGGCGAACGGGUGAGUAACACGUGGGUAACCUACCUCAUAGUGGGGGAUAACAGUCGGAAACGACUGCUAAUACCGCAUAGGACAUAGGAUCACAUGGUCCAGUGAGGAAAGGUGGCGCAAGCUAUCGCUAAGAGAUGGACCCGCGGUGCAUUAGCUAGUUGGUAGGGUAAAGGCCUACCAAGGCGAUGAUGCAUAGCCGACCUGAGAGGGUGAUCGGCCACAUUGGGACUGAGACACGGCCCAAACUCCUACGGGAGGCAGCAGUAGGGAAUCUUCCGCAAUGGACGCAAGUCUGACGGAGCAACGCCGCGUGAGUGAAGAAGGUCUUCGGAUCGUAAAGCUCUGUUGUUAGAGAAGAACAGCGCAUAGAGUAACUGCUAUGCGUGUGACGGUAUCUAACCAGAAAGCCACGGCUAACUACGUG